rnacentral:rRNA from 1 species
AACCUCCCAAACCCAAUGUGAACGUUACCAAACUGUUGCCUCGGCGGGAUCUCUGCCCCGGGUGCGUCGCAGCCCCGGACCAAGGCGCCCGCCGGAGGACCAACCAAAACUCUUAUUGUAUACCCCCUCGCGGGUUUUUUUAUAAUCUGAGCCUUCUCGGCGCCUCUCGUAGGCGUUUCGAAAAUGAAUCAAAACUUUCAACAACGGAUCUCUUGGUUCUGGCAUCGAUGAAGAACGCAGCGAAAUGCGAUAAGUAAUGUGAAUUGCAGAAUUCAGUGAAUCAUCGAAUCUUUGAACGCACAUUGCGCCCGCCAGUAUUCUGGCGGGCAUGCCUGUCCGAGCGUCAUUUCAACCCUCGAACCCCUCCGGGGGGUCGGCGUUGGGGAUCGGCCCUCCCUUAGCGGGUGGCCGUCUCCGAAAUACAGUGGCGGUCUCGCCGCAGCCUCUCCUGCGCAGUAGUUUGCACACUCGCAUCGGGAGCGCGGCGCGUCCACAGCCGUUAAACACCCAACUUCUGAAAUGUUGACCUCGGAUCAGGUAGGAAUACCCGCUGAACUUAAGCAUAUCAAUAA